GUGGCACGAGGAUUUUCAGUCCUCUGCUCUACCAACUGAGCUAUCCCGGC
rnacentral:tRNA from 35 species